rnacentral:rRNA from 1 species
CCUACGGGAGGCAGCAGUGGGGAAUAUUGGACAAUGGGGGCAACCCUGAAGCAGCGACGCCGCGUGAAGGAAGAAGGCCCUCGGGACGUAAAGCUCUAUCAGCAGGGAAGAAAAUUGAGUCACCUGAGGAUGAAUCCACUGCUAACAACGUGCAAGCAGCCGCGGUAAUACGAAGGGGGCAGGCGUCAUCCGGAAUGACUGGGUGUAAAGCGGGCGUAGGCGGCUGAACAAGACUGGAGUGAAAUCCCGGGGCUUAACCGCGGAACUGCUUUGGAAACUGUGGGGCUUGAGUGCGGGGGGGGUAGGCGGAAGUCGUGGUGUAGCGGUGAAAUGCGUAGAUAUUAGGAGGAACACCGGUGGCGAAGGCGGCCAACCGGACCGUAACUGACGCUGAGGCUCGAAAGCGUGGGGAGCAAACAGGAUUAGAUACCCGAGUAGUC